GCUACACAUGCAGUCGAGCGGUAGAGAGAAGCUUGCUUCUCUUGAGAGCGGCGGACGGGUGAGUAAUGCCUAGGAAUCUGCCUGGUAGUGGGGGAUAACGUUCGGAAACGGACGCUAAUACCGCAUACGUCCUACGGGAGAAAGCAGGGGACCUUCGGGCCUUGCGCUAUCAGAUGAGCCUAGGUCGGAUUAGCUAGUUGGUGGGGUAAUGGCUCACCAAGGCGACGAUCCGUAACUGGUCUGAGAGGAUGAUCAGUCACACUGGAACUGAGACACGGUCCAGACUCCUACGGGAGGCAGCAGUGGGGAAUAUUGGACAAUGGGCGAAAGCCUGAUCCAGCCAUGCCGCGUGUGUGAAGAAGGUCUUCGGAUUGUAAAGCACUUUAAGUUGGGAGGAAGGGCAGUUGCCUAAUACGUAACUGUUUUGACGUUACCGACAGAAUAAGCACCGGCUAACUCUGUGCCAGCAGCCGCGGUAAUACAGAGGGUGCAAGCGUUAAUCGGAAUUACUGGGCGUAAAGCGCGCGUAGGUGGUUUGUUAAGUUGGAUGUGAAAUCCCCGGGCUCAACCUGGGAACUGCAUUCAAAACUGACUGACUAGAGUAUGGUAGAGGGUGGUGGAAUUUCCUGUGUAGCGGUGAAAUGCGUAGAUAUAGGAAGGAACACCAGUGGCGAAGGCGACCACCUGGACUGAUACUGACACUGAGGUGCGAAAGCGU
rnacentral:rRNA from 1 species